rnacentral:rRNA from 1 species
UAUGGCUCAGGAUGAACGCUAGCGGCAGGCUUAACACAUGCAAGUCGAGGGGCAUCGGGAGUAGCAAUACUUGCCGGCGACCGGCGCAAGGGUGCGUAACGCGUGAGCAACAUGCCCGUAUCAGGGGGAUAAUCCAUGGAAACGUGGUCUAAUACCCCAUAGUAAUUAUGUAAGGCAUCUUAUAUAAUUUAAAGCUUUGGUGGAUACGGAUUGGCUCGCGUGACAUUAGCUGGAUGGUAAGGUAACGGCUUACCAUGGCUACGAUGUCUAGGGGUUCCUGAGAGGAGGGUCCCCCACACUGGAACUGAGACACGGUCCAGACUCCUACGGGAGGCAGCAGUGAGGAAUAUUGGACAAUGGAUGGAAAUCUGAUCCAGCCAUGCCGCGUGCCAGGAAGACGGCCCUAUGGGUUGUAAACUGCUUUUGUAUGGGAGCAAUAAGGGCUACGUGUAGUCCGAUGAGAGUACCAUACGAAUAAGCACCGGCUAACUCCGUGCCAGCCGCCGC